GGUGCGGCGUGCGGUUUAAUCUAAUUCAACGCAGAAAAUCUCACCAGGAACGACGGCAGAAUGAAAGUCAGGCUGAAGACCUUACUUGACGAGCCGAGAGGUGGUGCAUGGCCGCCGUCAGCUCGUGCCGCAAGGUGUCCUCUUAAGUGAGGUAACGAGCGAGACCUGUGCCUACAAUUACCAUCAACUCCUUUUGGAGGAUUGGGUACAUUGUGGGAACUGCCUUGGAAACAAGGAGGAAGGUGCAGGCUACGGUAGGUCUGUAUGCCCCGAAUUCCCUGGGCUACACGCGCGCAACAAUGGUAGGGACAAUGGGAUACAACUCCGAAAGGAGAAGUUAAUCCUCUAAACCCUAUCUUAGUUCAGAUCGAGGGCUGUAACUCGCCCUCGUGACGAUGGAAUCCCUAGUAAUCGGACGUCAACAUCGUCCGGUGAAUAUGUCCCUGUUCCUUGCACACACCGCCCGUCAAAUCACCCGAGCAGGGUUUGGGUGAGGCUUACUUUUU
rnacentral:rRNA from 1 species